AUUGAACGCUGGCGGCAGGCCUAACACAUGCAAGUCGAGCGGAUGAAGGGAGCUUGCUCCUGGAUUCAGCGGCGGACGGGUGAGUAAUGCCUAGGAAUCUGCCUGGUAGUGGGGGAUAACGUCCGGAAACGGGCGCUAAUACCGCAUACGUCCUGAGGGAGAAAGUGGGGGAUCUUCGGACCUCACGCUAUCAGAUGAGCCUAGGUCGGAUUAGCUAGUUGGUGGGGUAAAGGCCUACCAAGGCGACGAUCCGUAACUGGUCUGAGAGGAUGAUCAGUCACACUGGGACUGAGGAACGGUCCCAACUCCCACGGGGAGGAAGCAUGGGGGAUAUUGGACAAUGGGCGAAAGCCUGAUCCAGCCAUGCCGCGUGUGUGAAGAAGGUCUUCGGAUUGUAAAGCACUUUAAGUUGGGAGGAAGGGCAGUAAGUUAAUACCUUGCUGUUUUGACGUUACCAACAGAAUAAGCACCGGCUAACUUCGUG
rnacentral:rRNA from 1 species